rnacentral:rRNA from 1 species
CGCUGGCGGCAUGCCUAACACAUGCAAGUCGAACGAGAAAGUUCCUUCGGGAGCAAUUAAAGUGGCGCACGGGUGAGUAACGCGUAGACAAUCUGCCCUUCAGUCUGGGACAACUUUUCGAAAGGAGAGCUAAUACCGGAUAACAAUGCAUGACACAAGUUGUAUAUUUGAAAGCUUUAUGUGCUGAAGGAGGGGUCUGCGUCCCAUUAGCUAGUUGGUAAGGUAAAGGCUUACCAAGGCAACGAUGGGUAGCGGGUUUGAGAGGACGAUCCGCCACACUGGAACUGAGACACGGUCCAGACUCCUACGGGAGGCAGCAGUGGGGAAUAUUGCACAAUGGAGGAAACUCUGAUGCAGCAAUGUCGCGUGAGUGAAGAAGGCCCUUGGGUCGUAAAGCUCUUUUAUGGGGGAAGAUGAUGACGGUACCCCAAGAAUAAGCACCGGCUAACUAUGUGCCAGCAGCCGCGGUAAUACAUAGGGUGCGAGCGUUGUUCGGAAUUACUGGGCGUAAAGGGCGCGCAGGCGGAAUAGUAAGUCGGAGGUGAAAGCCCGGGGCUCAACCCCGGAGGGUCUUUCGAAACUGCUAAUCUAGAGAGGGUCAGGGGCCGGCAGAAUUCCUGGUGUAGAGGUGAAAUUCGUAGAUAUCAGGAGGAAUACCGGUGGCGAAGGCGGCCGGCUGGGGCCACUCUGACGCUGAGGCGCGAAAGCGUGGGGAGCAAACAGGAUUAGAUACCCUGGUAGUCCACGCCGUAAACGAUGAGCACUGGACGUCCGGAGGGUUCGACCCUUCUGGGUGUCUCAGCUAACGCAUUAAGUGCUCCGCCUGGGGAGUACGGUCGCAGAGAACUAAACCCAAAAGAAAUGCGGCGGA